AGCCAUUCACUCUCUGUGCAUGAAAAAGCAAAAUGAUAGAGUUUUUUCUAAACCUCUAAGUGCAUUUCUGCUAUGGAAAAGCUUCUCAUAAAAAACCUUUUGCUGUUCGGAGUCGGCUUAAAACUGCAGGUGCCUUCUUUUGUGGAACAACAUAAAGAUCCACGCAAAUAGGAGGAGAAGCUGAACUAAAUACCUAACAGAAGUGCACGGCUCAAUUAUUUAAUCAUUUUGAUAAAAACUUUAACUCUGUUUGUACAAAAAAGGUCGUGAAUUGGAGUGAAAUUUAUCCGUUUGUCGUUUACGUCAAAAAAAUUGGGGUGUCUACCGACGGUUAACACUGAUAACAACGUCAGCUUUGAAAUACUUUACACAAAGUAGGUAAUUGGGCGAACAUGAGAGAAAGGAAGGUAAAAAAUGGCAUAGUACAACGAAUUAAGACCUAGCAGUCCCGCUGGGUAAGUCAUGUAAUCCAAAUAUUCCAGCUCUGAAAAUAUUCGAUGCAGUGCCAGAGGGAAAGGAAAGCCUCGUCUGCGUUACAAAGAUCACGUGAAGAAAGACUUGGGGGGAAAUCCCCAUUUGUUCUCCCGCCCCUUUUAAAAAAAGGGGUAUAAGGGGGGGUAGAGGGGUGUAUCCCCAUCUUAAAACUGAAAACAGAACCUACCGGAGGCUUAUAGUUUUUAAGUUAUUUGAGUUUAAAAAUUGUAAAAUUUACCAAGAAUCCUCCUAUUUUGGUUACUACAACCAGCCGAAGUGCUGCCAGACAUCGUAUAAAUAAACAAUUUUAGAAGAUAAUAAAUGAAUAGAAAUACAAAAUUUUACAAAUUAUUUCUAUAUUAUAUACGUCUAUUCAUAUAUAUAUAUAUAUAUAUAUAUAUAUAGGUAUAUUUAUGGAUAUAUGUAUAUAUUUAUAUACAUAUAUAUAUUAAUGCUUGAUUUUCAGUAAAGUAUGUUUGAUUGUAUGCAUUUUGAAUAUAUGAUAUAUAUUAUAUAUAUGAUAUAUAUAUUUUUAAUUCCAAAUUUUCACUAUAUUAUGAAUAUAUGAUAUAUAUAUAUACAUAUAUAUAUUUAAAAAAAAAGAAAAAAAAGCGCCGCAGGCGAAAAUUUGGAAUAAAAAAUCGCGCGAUUUUUAAUUCCAAAUUUUCACUAUAUUAUACAUAUAUAUAUUUAAAAAAAAAAAAAAAAAAGCGCCGCAGGCGAAAAUUUGGAAUAAAAAAUCGCGCGAUUUUUAAUUCCAAAUUUUCACUAUAUUAUGAAUAUAUGAUAUAUAUAUAUACAUAUAUAUAUUUAAAAAAAAAAGAAAAAAAAAGCGCCGCAGGCGAAAAUUUGGAAUAAAAAAUCGCGCGAUUUUUUAUUCCAAAUUUUCACUAUAUUAUGAAUAUAUGGUAUAUAUAUAUACAUAUAUAUAUUUAAAAAAAAAAGAGAAAAAAGCGCCGCAGCCGAAAAUUUGGAACAAAAAAUCGUCUAUGCUGUCCACAGUAUUUUUGCGUAAAACUUUCUUCUGCGUAGGCGGCCUUCGGCCGCACUUCAAAAAAAUAACCCUCAUCAGUCCAACUCCGGCUACGCAAUCCACAGUAUUUUUGCGUAGAACUCUUUUUCGCGUGGGCGGCCUUCGGCCGCGCUUCAAAAAAAUAACCCUCAUCAGUCCAACUCCGGCCAGGCAAUCCACAGUAUUUUUGCGUAGUACUCCUUUUCGCGUGGGCGGCCUUCGGCCGCGCUUCAAAAAAAUAACCCUCAUCAGUCCAACUCCGGCUACGCAAUCCACAGUAUUUUUGCGUAGUACUCCUUUUCGCGUAGGAAUUUUACGUGAAGCUGAACUGUAUUUCGAAAAUCACAUCGAUAUUGUAUUUAUAUAUAUUUAUGAACUCGAUAUAUACACCUUAGAGGUUGUAAACCCCCAUUCCCUCAUUAUUCUAACAAAAAAGAGUGUGUGGAAAUUAUGUUCCUAUGUUGCUUCGUUUUCAAUGGCAUUCUAUUAUUUUUUUUAUUUUUUGCUUCUGGCAGCACUCCAUUCAGUCAUGCUUUUCAGUUAUUGUAAAUUUAGCUGGCAUAUUUGGAGUUAGCAACUUAAAAAUGCAGUAUAAAUGGUUAAUUUGUGGUAUAAAUAAAUAAAAAGAGUUAAAAACGUAUGUUGAAAUAAUGCAAAAUCGAACAAUUUUUGACCUAAAUUUUCGCCAUCGGCACUCAUAACUUUUACGAUAAAACAACGUUUUCAUAAGUGCUGUGAAAUAUAAAACCUAAGUUAAAUGCUUGCUGGGUUGACGACUGCUGUAUACUCUUCUCUUCAACUGUAUUUCAGUACAAACUGCAAAUGCGGUCGGAAAAAACCUAAUUUUUAAACAUCUCCUGGGGGUUCUAUAGGGACACUAGAAGGUUGGGACUUUCACAGUUAUAAUGGUACAACCUUGCUCUUUCUAAUGGGCGUGGUGGGUGGUGCCACGCCCCCUCCUUCUCCGCCCCCCAUUCAAAUAUAUCGUGGUAGUAAAGGAAAGUUUUGCCGAAAGCUUUGCCUGUCAAGGAGUUGGAUGUCGGAACAGCUGCAGUAUGAAGUAUUUUUUAGAAGUAUAGCCGCAGACAGUCAGGCCGAUCAUUUUGCUCAACUGCAUACAACGUACUAACCUCGAAAUAAAUGAGAUUCCAAUGAACAGAGGCCAUGCAUGCGCUCCACGAUUGUCGAGGUACACGAUGCCCCAGCUCUGUCACAAAAAGGAAGUCGGGUAAAUCAAGGAUUAGUGCAGGCUGGACGGACUUGAAAAAGAAAAUAUAGCUUUAAAAAACUCAUCACUUAUAUAUUCACUAAUUCAUGAUUUUUUUAAUGUAAGCACGUGUUUCUACUUACUUCAUUUUAUUAAUUAACAAAUGAACCAAAGUAAGCAUAAUAUUUCCAUUCCAUUAUUAUAAAAAUGUCUGGGAGCUGAUUGCAAUAGUUGCUGCCAGACAUUCAGAAAGUAAUAUAAGUCUGCUUUUACACAGCUCAACACAUAAUUUCAAGACUUAUAAUACGUUUACAUAUGCAUUAAUUACCAAUAAAUCCACAAAAUUAAUCUACUUGUCACAUAUGACAGAUUACCUGCAAAAUUGACAAUCAGCUGUCAAUACUGUUGUAAAAGGUUUUUCUUCAUAGAAAUUAUUUUGGUGAAAUAUUUGGUCUUUUUGGUUUGUUUAAUUAUUAUUAACGAUAUGAAGAAAAUACAAGGAGAAGGAAAGCUAACUUAAUUGCGCAAUUGGCUGCUAAUAAUAAACAGUUGAAGGAAAUCCGUAAACGACGUUUACUGAGGUUUCAAACGUUUUUUUUCUGUUAUAUGAAUGCAUACUUAAUAAUACCUAACAAACAUUUUAUUAGAAUUAUGUCUAUAAACCUGUUUUCUUUGCCGGUAUCCAUUUUAUUUAGUUUUUAAUUUGAUGUUUUUCUUUGCACGCGUAAAAAUAAUGAUCUAUUACAUAGAAAAAGCAGGGUUGUAUGUCAAAAAAUAUGAUUAUUAUCUAGGAUUUUUUUAUAAUCUCAGAUUUUGGGAGAAAAAAUGUGUAUCGGAAAUCUCGCUUUUUAAUUACAGAUUAGGAGUUAAGCACGAAAAAGUAGAUCAUCUACUUAUAUGUAAAGAUAUUAUUAAUGCACGUGUAAGAGAUUAAAAUAAAGAAAGAGUACAGAAGCUUAUUCGACAUUUGUGACAAUUUUCCACAAUUUCUACCACUUUCUAAAAUUCAUGGUUACAUAAAUAUCAGCGUGCAUGGCUAAACGAAAUGCUAGCCCGAAACCACGAAGCUGUUGCAUUCAUUCACGUUCAAGUUACAUCAACAAGGACGUUUUGCUACAUGCAAGACAAGGCGAAUUUAUUACAGGUGACAGCAAACACAUAUAAGUAAAACCCUACAUGUAUUUGUUGUUGCGCUUGGUGCAAGCAUCAUGUCAAAAUCAGCAAGCAAAUGUAAACAUACGAAUGUAAACAUACCAAUACAUACAAACAAAGCAUAUCAUUUUGACGUAAGCCAUACCUACGGCGAAAAAUUCAGCUGGGUGAAUGCUGUCACCUUAUUAAAUCCACCUUGAUGCAAGACAUAAUAAAAUAAUAAUAAACAUAUGUGAAAAAAUUAACUCAUAUUUAAAAUGUAAUAGAAAUAGCGACCUAAGUGCCCAUUUACACACGGAAACAUUUGUAAGGGAAACAUUUUGUACUGUACUGUACUGGCGACACGCUUUGCUCUUCUUAUUCGUAUUUCUUAUCUUAAAGCAAUUUUUGAUAGUUGCUUCAUUUGUUUUCUUCUUUUGUGGGAGAAAGUUCUGAGUUAUGUGUUGGUUUUCAAUCAAACGGAAGAUAACAACGAUGACAAACAUCCGAACGCUGCUUGGGAAAUGCACGAUUAUUUUUGCUAGUUAAGUAGGCAUAAUUUAAAAUAUAUUAUGGGGCAUGUUUAUCUUGAAUUCUAAUUUUCCCCGCAUUUCUAGAUACUCAAGUUAAUUUUAAGUCAAUUAUUUAUAUAUGAAGUAUUUUUAAUUUAAUUUUUUUUAUUCAAGUA